GGGAAGUAGCGCAGCCAGCCCUGCAGGUGCAGCGCGUACAGGCCGAUGCGGAUGGCGUUCCAGGACGCGUCCACCUGGCCGAGCGAGCGGUUGCGGAACGACAGGCCCUCGAAGGCCGGCAGAGAGAAGGAGAGAGAGGAGAGAAAGGGAGACACACAGAGCAGAGAUCGCUACAACACUGCCACCACCUCUGCCUGUGGCAUCUGUGGAACCCAGGACUUCCUGUAGAGCAAGGCAUGUGCUCUACUAGAUUGCCCGUCACUCCUCUGAGCCAGGGCUCCACCUGCUUGCCUCAAACUUCCACACCUACUCUGUCUCCCACCCUGAUGGCCCAGCAGCUCCGGCAGACGUUCCUCUCUCCCGUCUCCACACCCCUCCCAGAUGCCAUCUGCUAGUCUCCACAGAAGAGGGUUAUCACUGAGGCUUGGUGCUGGCACUACAAAUUCACUGUUCCUGGUCGUCAUUUAUUCAUUGCGUAAGUGUGUGAGAGAGAAUCAAACACUGCUGGUCAGAUGCAGUGCUAGGGAUCGAACCUACAACAAGUCCUGCUCUCUACCUACUGAUCCACACUCCCAGCUGUUUUUUAUGCAGUGCCGGGGACUGAACCCAGGACCUUGCACAUGGGAGACACAAGCUCUACCACCCCAUCACUUCCCUGACCCAUGUAUUUUUUUUCUACGAGAAACCAAAACACAGCUUUCUUGGCCACGGAGAUUAACAGGAUACAGGACAGUUGUUGA